rnacentral:rRNA from 1 species
UACGUAGGGUGCAAGCGUUAAUCGGAAUUACUGGGCGUAAAGCGUGCGCAGGCGGUGAUGUAAGACAGUUGUGAAAUCCCCGGGCUCAACCUGGGAACUGCAUUUGUGACUGCACGGCUGGAGUGCGGCAGAGGGGGAUGGAAUUCCGCGUGUAGCAGUGAAAUGCGUAGAUAUCUGGAGGAACACCGGUGGCGAAGGCGGCAUCCUGGACCGAUACUGACGCUGAGGAGCGAAAGCCAGGGGAGCAAACGGG